CAAGCGGCAAAGGAAAUCUAUCUCAAGGAAUGGGAUCCACAGCGUAAUUCUCUGCCUGAUUGCAGUAAUGUUGACAGGCUGCGAGAUUUUAUUAAGCAUGUCUAUGUGGACAAAAGAUAUUCAGGUGAUAGGAGUUUUGAUAGACCUCCAAGGGUGAAGAGUGACAGAAGA